AUUGAACGCUGGCGGCAGGCCUAACACAUGCAAGUCGAACGAGUGGCGGACGGGUGAGCAAUGUCUGGGACACUGCCUGAUGGAGGGGGAUAACUACUGGACACGGUAGCUAAUACCGCACACCAUCAGCUGUGCCCAGAUGGGAUUAGCUUGUUGGUGGGGUAACGGCUUACCAGGGCGACGAACCCUAGCUGGUCUGAGAGGAUGACCAGCCACACUGGAACUGAGACACGGUCCAGACUCCUACGGGAGGCAGCAGUGGGGAAGAUUGGAACAUGGGCGCAAGCCUGAUGCAGCCAUGCCGCGUGUGUGAAGAAGGCCUUCGGGUUGUAAAGUACUUUCAGCGGGGAGGCGUUACCCGCAGAAGAAGCACCGGCUAACUCCGUGCCAGCAGCCGCGGUAAUUC
rnacentral:rRNA from 1 species